rnacentral:rRNA from 1 species
CGCGUAGGCGGCUCAUAAAGGCUGUGGUGAAAGUUCGGGGCUCAACCUCGAAUCGGCCGUGGCGACUUGUGGGCUGGAGCACUGUAGAGGCGGGUGGAAUUCCGGGUGUAGCGGUGGAAUGCGUAGAGAUCCGGAAGAACACCAGUGGCGAAGGCGGCCCGCUGGGCAGUGGCUGACGCUGAAGCGCGACAGCGUGGGGAGACAAACA